CAUGAGGAUGGGCAUACUGGAAGGAGCAAUAAGAGGAAACAGUGCAUAGUCCAUUUCAUAAUUGAGAUGUUCAUCAAUAACUGAAAAAAAGUUUAAUAACAGUAGGUCUAUAUAUCUUGGAGGUCUCUCCACGUCAGUCCAGUCUUUCUCAGCAACAGCAAGGGAUAAGAAAAGCAACCAAGGCAGUGAGCUGUCCGACCACUGGGAAGCCAGUUAACAAAGCCAUCAGAAGACUGAGCUCUGCUGUUACUCGCGCUGGUGUUUCCUUCCACAGAUCAAUGGUCAUCAGAGUCAAGUACUCUGAACUUGUGGAAAGUAAUAUUGGAUCUUAUGUUACGAAACCUACACACUUAAAGG